AUUGAACGCUGGCGGCAGGCCUAACACAUGCAAGUCGAGCGGAUGAAGGGAGCUUGCUCCUGGAUUCAGCGGCGGACGGGUGAGUAAUGCCUAGGAAUCUGCCUGGUAGUGGGGGAUAACGUCCGGAAACGGGCGCUAAUACCGCAUACGUCCUGAGGGAGAAAGUGGGGGAUCUUCGGACCUCACGCUAUCAGAUGAGCCUAGGUCGGAUUAGCUAGUUGGUGGGGUAAAGGCCUACCAAGGCGACGAUCCGUAACUGGUCUGAGAGGAUGAUCAGUCACAGUGGAACUGAGAACCGGGCCAGGCUCCUACGGGGGGCAGCAGGGGGGAAUAUGGGAAAAUGGGCGAAAGCCUGAUCCAGCCCGGCCGGGGGGGUGAAGAAGGUUUUCGGUUUUUAAAGCCCUUUAAGUUGGGAGGAAGGGGAGUAGGUUAAUACCUUGCUUUUUUGACGUUACCAACAGAAUAAGCACCGGCUAACUUCGU
rnacentral:rRNA from 1 species